AUCACGCUGCGGGAAAGCUUCACUGCGGCAGACCCUGGUAGGCUUCUAAAGGUAGAGGAUAAAAUGAAUGCAGUAAAAUCCUGGAGGAAAACCUGAUGCAGUCUGCAAGAGAACUGCAACUUGGGAGAAGAUUUGUUUACCAGCAAGUCAAUGACCCCAAGCAUAAAGUCAAAGCUAUGCGGGAAUAGCUUAAAAACAAAGUUAAUGACCUGGAGUGGCCAAGUCAGCGUCCAGACCUCAAUCCAAUUGAGAAUGUGUGGUAAGACCUGAAAAGGGCUUUUCAGUCAGGAACCCCAUGCAAUCUGACAGAGCCUGAGCAGUUUUGUUAGAAGAAUGGGGAAAAAUUGCAGUGUCCAAAUGUGCAAAGCUGAUAGAGACCUAUCCUCACACACUCAAGGCUGUAAUUGCUGUCAAAGGUUGGUUGUCAAAGAACCUGAAGCACCACUUCAAGUAUCAUCAGAAGAGUAAUCUAUCAAAUUACAUCACUAAAGCAGAAACAAAGGAGCCAUAAUCACUCCAGUGUGUUGGUGCUUGUGGGAUUUUGUGCAUCAGACUGCUAUUUUCUUGUUAUAGCUCUAACGACAUUUAAAAAGUGAUGUAAAUCAAGUGGCAUAAAACAAGGAUGUAAAAUGUUUCUCCAAUGACCCAAUCAAAUUGGAAGGGACGUGGCAACCUGCAGGUCCAUGAGUGAGAUUAAAAAAAAGAGCAGGAUUUCAGCACUUUUCCUCGCAGCCCAAUCAAAUUGGGGUGGGGGGGGGGGGAGGGGAGGAGAAACUCACAGGUCUGUAAGAUUUUAAAAGAGGAGCUUUCAUGGGGUUUCAGCAUUUUUCAGCAGUCCAAUCAAAUCUCGAUUCAUUAGCAAGGGUAAAUAAAAAUAAGGUUGCGGCAAGUGGAGCGGCCAUUGUCUGAGUGGACGGUUGCUAGAGAGAGGAGGCCUUGGCUCAUCAGGUUGGGGCGAGGUAUGUCCAAUGCGGGAAUUCUGAGAGACCUUCAACCUCCCAGAUAAUCAUAUCUGCCCCAGGUGCACUGAGUUGCAGCUCCUUAGAGAAUGUGUUAAGGAACUGGAGCUGCAGCUCAAUGACCUUCGGUCCCUAUGGUAAACUGAGGAGGUAAUAGAUAGGAGAUACAAGGAGGUAGUCACUCCUAAAAUGCAGGAGGCAGGUAUCUGGUUGACUGUCAGGAGAGGGACAAGACCUUGGCAGACAUCGCAGAGUAUCCCCGACUGUUCUCCUCAAUAAUAUGCAUACCAUUUUGGAUACUGUUGAGGAUGGGGGAAAUCCGUAGCAACUGGGACUCUGGAUCUGGUGCUACAGCUCAGAAGCGAAGUGGGGAGCAGAGUAGUGAUAGGGGAUUCCACAGUAAGAGAGACUGGAUUAUAUGUUGCCUCCGAGGUGCCAGAGUCAGGGAUGUGUCAGAUCGGGUCUACAGUAUUCGAGAGGGGGAUGGGGAACAGGCAGAGUCUUGGUACACAUUAGCACCAAUGACAUAGGUCAGAAAAUGAAGGUGGUCCUAAAAAAAGAAUUUAGGGAGUUGGGCAGAAAAAUGAAAUGUGCAGGACUUCCAGUAGAUGUAAAUUCUGGAUUGCUGCCUGUGUCAUGCAUCACUGAGAGUAAUAGGAAGAUCAGGCAAAUGAGUGAGUGGCUGAGAAACUGGUGCACGAAGCAGGGCUUCAAACUACUGGAUCAUUGGGAUCUCUGCAGAAGAAGGUAUGAUCUGCACAAAAGGGACGCGUUAUACCUGAGCCCAAGGAGGACUGAUACCUUUGCGGGCAAGUUUGCUAGAGCUGUUGGGGAAGGUUUAAACUUAUUUGGCAGGAGGAUGGGAAACUGUUCGAUAGGGCUGAGGAUGGGGCAGUUGGUAUACAAGUAGAGGCAGUGUGCAUUGAGACUGUAAAGAAGGAAAUGUAGAUGAUAGGGUAAAAUUGCAGUCAGUGGGAUGAGUUGAAAUGUCAGAUGGGAGGUAAAAUUGAAAAGGGUGAUGAAUACUGAAGGUGUUAUAUUUGAAUGCACACAGUACAUGUUAUAAGGUAGAUGAUCUUGUACUGCAGUUAGAGAUUAGCAGGUAUGACACUAUGGGCUUUACUGAGUCACGACUGAAAAAAAGAUCACAUUUCGGACCUUAAUAUCCAAGGAUACACAAUGUAUCAAAAGGACAGGUAGGUAUGCAGAGGGGAUGAGGUGGCUCUGUUGGUAAACAAUGAAAUCUAAUCCUUUGGAGGAGUUUCAAAGUACAUUUAAGUGACAUAGGAUCGGAAGAUGUAGAAUCGUUGGAGUAGAGUUAAGAAACUGCAAAUGUAAAAAUGGGAGAUAGAAAAUGCAUGUCAAAAGGGCAAUGUUGUGAUAGUCAUGGAGGGUUUCAAUAUGCAGGCAGAUUGGACAAAUCAGGAUGGUACUGAUUUUGGAUCCCAAGAAAGAAUUUGUAGGAUGUCUAUGAGAUGGCUUUUUAAAGCAGCUUGUGGUUGAGCCCACUAGGGGAUCAGCUAUUCUGGAUUAGAUGUUGUGCAAAGAACCAGAUUAGAAUAGGGAGUUUAAGAUAAAGGAAAUGUCAGGAAGCAGUGAUCAUAAUUUGAUAGAAUUCACUCUGCAAUUUGAGAGCAAGAAGUUGAAGUAAAACAUUUCAGUAUUAGAGUGGAGUAAAGGGAAUUACAGAAGCAUGAGAGAGGAGCUGGCCGAAGUUGAUUAGAAGAGGACACUAGCAGGGAUGAUGGCAGACCAGCAAUGGCUGGAGUUUCUAGGAGCAAUUUGGAAGAUGCAGGAUAGAUACAUCCCAAAAAAGAAAUAUUCUAAAGGCAGAAUGACAACUGUGGUUGACAAGAGAAAUCAAAGCCAACAUAAAAGCAAAUAAGAGGGCAUAUAAUAAAGCAACAAUUAGUGGGAAGUUAGAGGAAUGAGAAGUUUCUAAAAACUAAAACUAAAAGCAACAUCCCAUAUAAUACACACAAAAUGCUGAAGGGACUCAGCAGGCCAGGCAGCAUCUACGGAAAAUAAUCAAUAGUUGACUUAUCAGGCCAAAACCCUUCAUCAGGACUGGAAAAAGUGAGAAGUCGGAGUAAAAUCCUGGGAGGAAGGAAGUAAGUAUAAGGUAGUAGGUAAUAGGUAAAACUGGGAGAGGGGGAAGGGUGAAGUAAAGAGCUGGGAAGUUGACAGGUGAAAAAGAUAAAAAGCUGGAGAAGGGGGAAUCUGAUAGGACAGGACAGACCCAUGGAAGGAAGGGAAGCAGGAGGAGCAUCAGAGGGAGGUGAUGGGCAGGUAAGGAGACAAGCUGAGAGAGGAAAAUGGGAAUAGGGAAUGGUGAA